GAUGAAGAACGCAGCGAAAUGCGAUAAGUAGUGUGAAUUGCAGAAUUCAGUGAAUCAUCGAAUCUUUGAACGCACAUUGCGCCCUUUGGUAUUCCUUAGGGCAUGCCUGUUCGAGCGUCAUUUAAACCCUUCAAGCUCAGCUUGGUGUUGGGUGACUGACCGCCGCCCCCGGGCGCGGACUCGCCCCAAAUUCAUUGGCGGCCGGUACGUAGGCUUCGAGCGCAGCAGAAACGCGAACUCGGGCCCGCGGUGUCGGCUCCCAGAAGCCAUCUCUUUUAUUUUGACCUCGGAUCAGGUAGGGAUACCCGCUGAACUUAAGCAUAUCAAUAAGCGGAGGA
rnacentral:misc_RNA from 1 species